AGGGUCCUCACGUGUGUCAUAUUCCACCCCGGAGGAUAAUGACGGCAAAAGCCAUCACGGACUCAGUACCUUCGACGGAGUAGGCCCCGUGCUGUUCUUUGCUUCCUGAUUUCUUGUCUCAAAAAACAUUCCACAACAGCUCUGAGUGCUGCGAAGCCGGCUGGGUCAUCUGCUGCGGCCGCCUUCCAGUACCUGCCAUUAUGUCUGACCCAGAGCAGGGCCUCAAUAAAUGAAUGGAUGAAUGGAUGACUCCCAACACUAAGACAAAUAAAUGAAUUGGAUCUUUACUCCAAGAAGAGAAGCGUUCCAGUUUUACUCUCUGACAGUGGUCACUCACAACCCGCGAUCCCCAUGAGAAACCGCUUCUCAGAAACAACUGAGCGGAGGAGCUGCGAGCAGGAUAUGAAUCUAGUGACCACCGCAGGUCCGGGCUGAAUCAAGACUUUCUUCAAGGUAGCUAGUUUCUUAACGAAGUUAGGGAGGCGUAGCUGGUGUUGCGAGAUUUAAACCCUCCGCACUUCUUUUCAAUCGCACGAACAUCGGCUCCCCAGGAUUAUUUUUUAACUUAGAAAGAAAUGAUUAUUUAUAAACUGUACUUAUAAA